GGAAGGUUGAUGUUGUGCUAUAGUCCUGGAGGAGAGGUGGAAGGUUGAUGUUGUCCUGGAGGAAAGGAAGAAGGUUGAUGGUGUACUGGAGGAGAGGAGGAAGGUUGAUGUUGUCCUGGAGGAAAGGAAGAAGGUUGAUGGUGUACUGGAGGAUAGGAGGAAGGUUGAUGUUGUACUAUAGUCCUGGAGGAGAGGAGGAAGGUUGAUGUUGUCCUGGAGGAGAGGAGGAAGGUUGAUGUUGUCCUGGAGGAGCGGAGGAAGUUUGAUGUUGUCCUGGAGGAGAGGGGAAAGUUGAUGUUGUCCUGGAGGACAGGAGGAGAGGUGGAAGGUUGAUGUUGUCCUGGGGGAGAGGUGGAAGGUUGAUGUUGUCCUGGAGGAGAGGUGGAAGGUUGAUGUUGUACUGGAGUAGAGGAGGAAGGUUGAUGUUGUACUGGAG
ensembl:lncRNA